GAUGGGACGGUCGUAGUUAUAGAGAGAGAAGCAUCAUGAACAAGCAGAGAAAAGUGUAAGAAAAACUUUAGUCAUUAAUGAACAUUUCAUUGGCAACAAGCUAACAUCGUUGCGAUCUCUAACUAUGAAUGCAAUGGCUCGUACGACGCUUGGAAUGGUCCAACUAAUGGUAUUGUUAAGCGUAUCCUGCUCUACAAUAGAAUAGAAACAGG
rnacentral:lncRNA from 1 species